GUCUCCCCGGAUAUUAGUAUGUAUGGGGAGUCGGACCUGCCCGGUGACUUAAUGUUAAACGGCCGCGGUACCCUAACCGUGCAAAGGUAGCAUAAUCAUUUGCCUUUUAAUUGGAGGCUGGUAUGAAUGGUUUGACGAAAGCUAAGCUGUCUCUCCUAAAAUAAGUAGAAUUUAACUUUUAGGUGAAGAGGCCUAAAUUUAUUUGAGGGACAAGAAGACCCUGUUGAGCUUUAGUGAAUUUGUGGGCCAAAAAACUUAAUGUGGUUAAGAUAAAGUGUAUUUUAUAACUUAUUUUGCAAAUAGAUCUUUAGUUGGGGCGACUAAGGAACCGGGAAAGCUUCCUUUGUUAGUUGUAGUUUGUGAGUAGAAAAUAAUCGAUUUUGUCGGGAUGGAAAUGAUCCAAAAAUUUUGAUUAAAGGAAAAAGUUACCACAGGGAUAACAGCGUAAUCUUUCUGGAGAGAUCAAAUCGAAAGAAGGGUUUGCGACCUCGAUGUUGGACUAAGAUAUCCGGAGGGUGUAGAAGUUCUCUAUGGUUGGUCUGUUCGACCAUUAAAAUCUU
rnacentral:rRNA from 1 species